CUCUCGUCCUUACUGCAGUGUGAGCUAUGUGCCCGACUACUUACCCCUCUAAGUGCAUCUCAUCUUCAUUUCAUCUUCAGCCUGUAUUCCAGACUCUGUUAGGUAAGUGGUGUGUGUGGAGAGCUGAGGGACCGAGAUGAGAGGGAGACAGAGCGCCAGCACCACUGGAUGAGUGGAUCUCUGCAGCAGCAGCAGCAUCAGGUGCAUGAUUUGACGGGCACUGCCGUUUUCACAGGACCAGACAGCACAGGUCACCGUAGCCACCAGAUCCAAUCUGUAUCCAGAUCAGAUGGUCACUGCAGUCACCCGGAUCCAGUACGUAUCCAGCCCAG
ensembl:lncRNA